rnacentral:rRNA from 1 species
AUACGUAGGGGGCGAGCGUUGUCCGGAAUGAUUGGGCGUAAAGGGCGCGUAGGCGGCGCGGUAAGUCUGGAGUGAAAGUCCUGCUUUCAAGGUGGGAAUUGCUUUGGAUACUGCCGCGCUUGAGUGCAGGAGAGGUUAUCGGAAUUCCCGGUGGAGCGGUGAAAUGCGUAGAGAUCGGGAGGAACACCAGUGGCGAAGGCGGGUAACUGGACUGCAACUGACGCUGAGGCGCGAAAGUGUGGGGAGCAAACAGGAUUAGAUACCCUGGUAGUCCACACUGUAAACGAUGAAUGCUAGGUGUAAGAGGUAUCGACCCCUUUUGUGCCGGAGUCAACACAAUAAGCAUUCCGCCUGGGGAGUACGGCCGCAAGGUUGAAACUCAAAUGAAUUGACGGGG